rnacentral:lncRNA from 1 species
AUUUUCUGGAAUUUGAUAUUAGUUCCUGGAAAUUCUUUUUCAUUCUUUUUGUUGGAGUCAUCACAAUAGAAACUUAAACUCAGAUUACUUUCAAAACACAGUAAUUUGGAGUGUCACUUAAUUUUAUGAACAAUAAAACACACAAUUUUGUUUUUUUCCUGAAGCUUAAGACUUGGAAGAGAAGCCCAAGCCCAGGAGAGUGCGAUGCAAACAUUCUGCUAAAUCCUGUAUGCAGAAGAAUGAAGAGAGACAAGGUGGUUAGAAGGUAAUCUUGCUCCUAAAGUUAAUCAUCUACAGUUAUUUUCAGUUCUUUUCGCCCUUUCCAUUGAGAACCAAGGAAAAACUUCAAUAUAAAGCUUUUUAUAUUUGCAUUGCCAUCCUUCUAUUUGAGAUCAGUUUUUAAUCUUCAUGUCCUUGUUUUCAUUUCUUGUACCUGUAAUGUAUUUUAUGUAAUUUAAUAAGUUUGAGGCAGAGGAGAGGAAAAAUGAUGGGAUUAAUAAGCUUUGAAAUUCAUAGUCCACAAGAGACACUGGGUUAUAGGUUUCAUUCACUCA